UACACAUGCAAGUCGAGCGGCAGCGACAUCAACAAUCCUUCGGGUGCGUUGAUGGGCGGCGAGCGGCGGACGGGUGAGUAAUGCCUGGGAACAUGCCUUAGUGUGGGGGAUAACCAUUGGAAACGAUGGCUAAUACCGCAUAAUCUCUUCGGAGCAAAGCGGGGGACCUUCGGGCCUCGCGCGCUAAGAUUGGCCCAGGUGGGAUUAGCUAGUAGGUGGGGUAACGGCUCACCUAGGCGACGAUCCCUAGCUGGUCUGAGAGGAUGAUCAGCCACACUGGAACUGAGACACGGUCCAGACUCCUACGGGAGGCAGCAGUGGGGAAUAUUGCACAAUGGGGGAAACCCUGAUGCAGCCAUGCCGCGUGUGUGAAGAAGGCCUUCGGGUUGUAAAGCACUUUCAGCAGUGAGGAAGAGGUGGUGUUUAAUAGAUGCCAUCUUUGACGUUAGCUGCAGAAGAAGCACCGGCUAACUCCGUGCCAGCAGCCGCGGUAAUACGGAGGGUGCGAGCGUUAAUCGGAAUUACUGGGCGUAAAGCGCAUGCAGGCGGCGUGUUAAGCCAGAUGUGAAAGCCCGGGGCUCAACCUCGGAAUCGCAUUUGGAACUGGCAUGCUAGAGUCUUGUAGAGGGGGGUAGAAUUUCAGGUGUAGCGGUGAAAUGCGUAGAGAUCUGAAGGAAUACCUGUGGCGAAGGCGGCCCC
rnacentral:rRNA from 1 species